AAAAUACGGGAGGCAGCAGUGGGGAAUAUUGGUCAAUGGGCGAGAGCCUGAACCAGCCAAGUAGCGUGCAGGAUGACGGCCCUCCGGGUUGUAAACUGCUUUUAGUUGGGAAUAAAAAAAGGGACUUGUCCCUUCUUGUAUGUACCUUCAGAAAAAGGACCGGCUAAUUCCGUGCCAGCAGCCGCGGUUAAUUUUU
rnacentral:rRNA from 1 species